GACGAACGCUGGCGGCGUGCUUAACACGUGCAAGUCGAACGGAAAGGCCCUGCUUUUGUGGGGUGCUCGAGUGGCGAACGGGUGAGCAACACGUGAGUAACCUGCCCUUGACUUUGGGAUAACUUCAGGAAACUGGGGCUAAUACCGGAUAGGAGCUCCUGCUGCAUGGUGGGGGUUGGAAAGUUUCGGCGGUUGGGGAUGGACUCGCGGCUCAUCAGCUUGUUGGUGGGGUAGUGGCUUACCAAGGCUUUGACGGGUAGCCGGCCUGAGAGGGUGACCGGCCACAUUGGGACUGAGAUACGGCCCAGACUCCUACGGGAGGCAGCAGUGGGGAAUAUUGCACAAUGGGCGGAAGCCUGAUGCAGCAACGCCGCGUGCGGGAUGACGGCCUUCGGGUUGUAAACCGCUUUCGCCUGUGACGAAGCGUGAGUGACGGUAAUGGGUAAAGAAGCACCGGCUAACUACGUG
rnacentral:rRNA from 1 species